rnacentral:rRNA from 1 species
ACUACGGGAGGCAGCAGUGAGGAAUAUUGGUCAAUGGGCGGGAGCCUGAACCAGCCACGUCGCGUGAGGGAAGACGGUCCUAUGGAUUGUAAACCUCUUUAGGCGGGGAGCAAUGCCGGGCACGCGUGCCCGGAGGGAGAGUACCCGCAGAAUAAGCAUCGGCUAACUCCGUGCCAGCAGCCGCGGUAAUACGGAGGAUGCGAGCGUUAUCCGGAGUUAUUGGGUUUAAAGGGGGCGCAGGCGGUCUGUUAAGUCAGCGGUCAAAGCCCGGGGCUCAACCCCGGCCCGCCGUUGAAACUGGCAGUCUCGAGUUGGAGAGAAGUAUGCGGAAUGCGCGGUGUAGCGGUGAAAUGCAUAGAUAUCGCGCAGAACUCCGAUUGCGAAGGCAGCAUGCCGGCUCCACACUGACGCUGAGGCACGAAAGCGUGGGUAUCAAACAGGAUUAGAUACCCCAGUAGUC